rnacentral:lncRNA from 1 species
CGUUUUCCUUUUCCACUUUGAGUCCUUCAUGUACCCAUGGGUUUAUUGGCUUACAUGUUAUCAAUUUUUCUCCAAUCAAGCCAAUCUUUACUGCCACAAGAGAUUUCUCUCAGUCACUAACUCAUUUUCAAAGACUACUCAAGCCAAAAACAAGAAUUCUUACCGUUUCUUGCUUGAAUCACCAAAACCAAGCUUUUUCUUCCUUUCUCUCUUUUUCUUUCUUCUUCUCCUAGAGUUUAUAUGUGCUGGAAAUUAGGGUUAGCAGUUGUAACUUUGGUGCACAAGAAGUUGGGAGAAGAAUGAAGCAAGAAGAGAAAAGAAAUGAAAAGAAAACAAGGAAAGAAAAUGAAAGAAAAUUAGUUUUCCAUGGGAGAAUGAGAGAAUGGCGUUGGAAGCUUCAAGAAUGAAGAAG